GGCUUUAUAGCCUAGUGGUAUCUUGGUAGUUAGAUAAAACUUUGGACCAAUAGGUCCUGAGUUCGAUUCUCACAAAAGGGG
rnacentral:tRNA from 1 species